ensembl:lncRNA
CGCAUUUCUUGUAUCACAGCUGUCAUGAAUUUAAAUUCCCUCUUGGAUCCUUACCACAGUAUAUUUCACUGCAAUAUUUUGCUUCUUUGAUAAGCACCAAGUAGUGAAGUACGAGAUGCUGAAUAUUUGAGAUGUAAAUCUGACAGGAGGCAUUUGUUUUUAGUGUUAGGAUGGAGUCAGAAACAACUGCAGAAAGAUGAACCCCUCAGAUAGCAUAAUAACCACUACAGGUGUUUGCAUAGAGCCAGAAUGAAGCUCAAGAUGUUUUUGAGCUUAGAAAAUGGCCACUUGUAUACAUGAAUCUUUACAUGACUGCUUACUUGUGGUUCCAGCUAUGAAAAUCAUCUGGAAAAACUGUAAGAAGAUUAUUUUCUGCAAAUCCCCUGACAGAAGCCAAGAAGCCUUGAAAACAUACAAAAGCAUCAGUUUACAUCAGCUUCCCACCUACAACCUGGGUAGAUAAUUCAUUAAAAAACAAGAAAUAUGAAGAGUGUGCAGUUCCACUACAGAAAUUUUAAUGACUACAGGAACAAGCAUCUUCGUUUCGCCUUUCCCUCAGACAGAGCUGGUGACCACGGAGGAUCUGAGCAGCAUGAGCUACAUAGAUGGUGCAAAAGUGCCUGGCCUGGCACCGGGGAGUGCAGUGAUCUCAGUCCAGCAGAUCUCUGGGCAGAUAUAUUCAGGACUUGGACAUUUUGGGUCUGCCCAAGUUCGUCUCACACAUCUGGGAUUCUCCUUGCAAAUCUGUUUCUGUGAAGAUCCCCAUAACUAUCAGAAAACAUGUAAGAGUGUGAAACUCUUUCCACCAUCAGCUUCACCAUUCUUCGUCCAUGCGAGAGUGGGACAAAUAUUCCUUACUUCCAUCUCCCGUAUGCUAGAGUCUUUCAUACUACAGGAUGAGUCCAGGGAGAAAUGAAAAGGCUUACACCGGCAGCUAUAUUUUGGCUUGGGAAAAUGUCACAUCCACUUUACAGGGUUCCUGCAGUGAGUGCUGGUGUCAUAGAAUCAUAGAAUGAUUUGGGUUGGAAAAGACCUUUAAGAUCAUCCAAUUCCAACCCCCCUGCUAUAGGCAGGGACACCUCCCACUAGACCAGAUUACUCACAGCCCCAUCCAACCUGGCCUUGAAUGCCUCCAGGGAGGGGUCAUCCACAACCUCACUAGGCAACCUGUUCCAGUGUCUCACCACCUUCACAGGAAAUAAUUUCUUCCUAAUAUCAAGUCUAAAUCUACCCUCUUCCAGUUUAAAGCCAUUUCCCUCAUCCUGUCGCUACAUGCCCUUAUAAAAAGUCCCUCCUCAGCUUUCCUGUAGGCCCCCUUCAGGUACUGGAAGGCCGCUAUAAGGUCUCAUUGGAGCCUUCUCUUCUCCAGGCUCAAGAGCCCCAGCUCUCUCAGCCUGUCCCCAAAGGGAGGUUCUCCAGCCCUCUGAUCAUCUUCAUGGCCCUCCUCUAGACCUGCUCCAACAGCUCAAAUUCAUUUAUUCAUGUCAUUUCUUCAUGCUUACUUCCUGAUACACAGUGUGGCAAGAGGAAAAUAUGACUGAAGAGGUCUCUCGAGAAUGAUUCUCAUAAAUGGCCUCCCUUUGUUCUACUGUUCUUUCUUUCUUAAUUAAUCUAAUCCAUGCAGGCUGGCAACAAAGACAUUAAAAAACUAGUGAAGAAUGUAAUAUAAGAUAAAGCUUUUAUCAAAGCAUUUUUUAAGAAGUGUUUCUUAGCUAUGAUUAUCUGGAGGCUGUUUUUCUUCCCCUCUCCUUUUCCUCAUACGUUGUAGCUCUCCUUAGGAAGCCCUUCUUUAGAGGUUUCUUCCCAUCACUUCAGGGCAAGGUCCAAAUAGAUUUUGUCUUUUGAUUGAAGAAAUUCUAUGCUUCUCUUAUAUUCAGAUCUCUGGGCUAACCAGCAGUCCGAUGCAAAUCUAAUCCACUUCACCAAUUACUUCUUUUAAUUCAUCAGAAUUUGCCUUUCUGAAAUAAUGGUAAUUCAUUUAGAAAGAUACUUGGAGAAUUUUGUAAUCUGCCCGCAGAGACUGAUCAGACAUAAUGUAAUCAAGAACAACAUUACAGGUUAGCAUAACAAUAAUAUUACUUCUGUCUGGGGGCAGUGUACGUCUACAAGUCAUACACAGUCUAAGACCGAGCUGAAGUUGUACUCAUCCUGUUACUACUAAAAUAUCUGACAGCAUUUCUAACAGUACAGAAAUCUCUGUUCAUUUCUAAGUACCCACCAGAGACCUGUAGCACAAUCCUCUUAAAAAUACUUCAGCUGUCCUUCUCUAAACUAGACUUACACCACUUUUUUUCCCAUAUUUUUUCUACAGAAUUUGCAGUCACUUUUCUUACGUUACUACUGUACUCCCUCAUGGCAUUUUUCUUUACUUCUACCAUUCCUCAGAACUGCAUUCUAUUCAAGGUAUAUGUUACAAUUUGUAUUACAAGUGGGACAUGUUCCUAUCAUCUUAACACUGUCUGGUUUCGUAUCCUACAUUUUCAGGUCUUCCUGUUAGAUUCUGGAGCAGUUCUUUGGUGUUCUGCCCGCCAGCACUGUCUUCUAGAUUAAUUUAGGCUACAGAGUCCCUGUUUCUUUUCACAAGUUGUUUUCAGGCCUGCUUCCUCAAGGCGCUGCAUUUCACAGGUUCUCUCUACUCUGUUCCUCCUGAUUUCUGCCCACGGGUCACACUGACUUUAGUUUUCAACAUAACUAGGCACGUGAGUAGCUAGUUUUCCUAUAUGAUGUCCAUAUGAGCAUGUGUAGUUGAUGAGGGUGGGAUUUCACAGCCACAUUCCCAAUGAGUUGCCUGUAUAUGCUCUAGUCUUGCGAACUCCUGUUGUAGCCAGUGUUAAUUAUUAAGUCAGAGUAACCGGUAGAGCCUAAGGAAUGUCUGAUGGAAGACAAGAUGUUUUCCAUAAGCUUUCAUUUAUUUGCUUACUUAUUUUCUCAGUACUGAAAUCAGUGAUUGGAGGUUUAUGUUAAUUGGCAAUAAAUUAAACAGAUUGGAAUUCCCUCA